GAAAAGAGGGUGAAAAGAACCUGAAACCGUCACGGGGGAAGCGGAUUGCGUUGGAUUGAUGGGAUUGCAUGUGUUCAGCCCUUUUUUGGGUGCAUUGACAUGGAAUUUUAUUCGCCGUGGGUUUUUUGGGAAUGGAUUUUGCAUUCCUAUAGACUGAGGGCUCCCUUCGGGUUGAGGACGGCGAAGUGACGACGCGAUACGACCCGUCUUGAAACACGGACCAAGGAGUCUAGCGCGAUUGCGAGUCUAAGGGUGCUGAAACCUGAUGGCGCAGUGAAAGCGAGUCUAAAAACGAGCAGUUUGAGGCGGCAUAAAAUCGUUGAUUUUAAGUCCGACCUAGAGCAAUUGCGCUGGGACCCGAAAGAUGGUGAACUAUGCCGGAGUAGGGCGAAGCCAGAGGAAACUCUGGUGGAGGCUCGUAGCGGUGCUGACGUGCAAAUCGCUCGUCCAACUUGGGUAUAGGGGCGAAAGACUAAUCGAACCAUCUAGUAGCUGGUUCCCUCCGAAGUUUCUCUCAGGAUAGCGGGCCGACUUGUUGUUGUUCUGUGUGGUAAAGCGAAUGAUUAGCGUAAUUGGGGACAUUUGGUCUUCGGGCGAUUCUCAAACUUUAAAUACGCAGGGGUGUCGCUGCUUUGUUGAGCGGCACCGGUAAAAACGUCGGCCCUGUGGGCCACUUUUGGUAAGCAGAACUGGCGAUACGGGAU
rnacentral:rRNA from 1 species